AGAACGAACGCUGGCGGCAGGCCUAACACAUGCAAGUCGAACGCUCGUAGCAAUACGAGAGUGGCAGACAGGUGAGUAACGCGUGGGAACCUUCCCAGUGGUACGGAAUAGCUCAGGGAAACUUGAGGUAAUACCGUAUACGCCCUUCGGGGGAAAGAUUUAUCGCCAUUGGAUGGGCCCGCGUAGGAUUAGCUAGUUGGUGAGGUAACGGCUCACCAAGGCGACGAUCCUUAGCUGGUCUGAGAGGAUGAUCAGCCACACUGGGACUGAGACACGGCCCAGACCUCCUACGGGAGGCAGCAGGUGGGGAAUAUUGGACAAUGGGCGCAAGCCUGAAUCCAGCCAUGGCCGCGUGAGUGACGAAGGUCCGUUAGGUUGUAAAGUCUCGUUUUGGGCGGGAAGAGUAAGUAGACGGUACCCGACGAACGAAGUAAGACCGUCCGUACCGUACGUUUACCGU
rnacentral:rRNA from 1 species